UCCUAGCCCAGAUUGAAGCGGCAUCCUUUUUUGUGGCUGCCGUAGCGAAGCGUAGGUAGCCACAAAAAAGAUACAGCGGAAAGCUGGAAAAAGC
rnacentral:sRNA from 1 species